GGGCUUGUAGUGUAGUGGUAUCGCGCAUCCUUAGCAUGGAUGAGGUCCUGGGUUCAAUUCCCAGCAAGUCCA
rnacentral:tRNA from 1 species